AUUAACCCUUGUAUUUCACAAAUUCCCAAUUGCAUGUUAUCCACCGUGCACAUGCUCCGAGAUUUGCGCUGGUCUGCCAGGCUAUAACUUCUCCAUGGGGAAGGGGAUUUAUAAAUAACGAGUCUAGCAUAUUCGCGACGCUGCAGCCUCCAUUGGGAUCCCAAAGAUCUCAUGACCGGAAACGCAAGACGAUGGUAAUUCCAACAGUAUGAUCGUGUUCUUGAUCGCGUAACUGGUCGGGUUUUUGGGUGGCUCAAUCGCUUCCUCAGCCCUCCGAUUCCCCGGACUGUGAAGUCGCUCCCGAUCUCCAGGGGCCGGCUUCGCUGCCAUCGCCUGGCACUAGCAGUCCAAUCAUCCUACCCACGGUGUCUCUGCCGUGCCCUCCGCGGCGGAGCAUCCAUUGCUGUGAACAAACACCAGGCUCUAUCCCUUGCCGGUGCCUGCAACCGCCCGCCCCACGCUCUUGGCCCCUGCUACGACAUCUGUUAGUGGUGAAGAAAUGCGGCAAAACUUUCAUGGGGCAUUGAGUAAUCCUGAUACACUGGAUAGGGAUUGCAUGCCAAGGCAUUUGCUUGCUAAUUAACUAGAUGAGAACUAGAUGACUUCCAAGAGGUUGGAAAUUGAGCAAACCAGAAUUUUGUAGAUCACUUUGAACGUCAAGUAUGAUAUUCUAUUUAUGCAUGAAAUUGGACAUAUUGAUUCCAUCUGAAUGGCCAAUUAUGUACACUAAAAUCAAACAUAGUUGAGUAUUUCAUUCUUUGGAAGCAUGAUCUUUGUAAUACUGUACUAUAAAACUAUGCACAGCUCUACUGGUCUAAUUACGCCAAUGAAAAACUAAAAUUUAUCAAUAGUGAUGGAAUAACUAGGUCACAUCUGAUUUUUCAACAGAGUACUAUAUGAGAUUGCAAUAGAGUCAGCAGAAACUGACAUCUAAGAAUUGCCUAGUAGUGAUACGCUAUCUUGCUAAAUCAUAUUAGAGCUUCGACUUUAGUUUCAACCAUUAAGUACUUUCAUCAUUGGAAAAUAGUUGCAGUCAUGCCAAAAAGUAUUCAUGAUACAUUUUAGUUUCAAGUACUGCUGAAGACGAUCCGAUCCACAUGUUCAUGUAGAACAAAUGUCUUUUUUUUUUUUUGAUUUAAUGGAUAGUGGAGGAAGUAAGAUACCUUCCUCUGUAUUAUAUAAAAGAAUAGAAUACAAGGAAAGAGGUGACAGGGAAGCAAAUGGAAGAACGUAGAACAGAGUUGCUGGAAGACCCAGCAUCCAAACCUAUAACUACAGAAGACUAAGCGUACAGAGAAGAACAGAGUACGAGGGCAGAGGUUACAGAGAAGAACGUACCCAAACAAAUAACUACAGAAGAUUAUGUAGAAUUAAGUGGAGUCAAGGAAGCCUGCCGGCUCCACAGUGCUUUGCGCCCAUCGGUCACUUCAGCCGAACCCAGAGGUUCCCGCUGCCGGAACGUAGAUCAAAUGUUGAUCUGCUUCAAUAUGUAGUUUCAAGUACCACAUAAUAUAAGUCCAAGUUAUGUCAAAUUUCUAGCUGACAAUUACUUGCCAAGCAUGAUUCCCUAUCCUAAGGAAACCAAAUUUAUGCAAUUUUCCCCGUAUGUUUAAAUUGUUAAGCUGCAUUUCAUAUCUUUAUAAACAAUUUAAUAAAUUCUUGCUACUACUUAUUUGUUGUAUGCAGAUGGUUCUGGAAAGACCAAGUCACCAAUAGAAUCUCCUAAAGAGAUGUCCAAAUCAUCUAGCUUUCACUCCAAAAAAAUGGACUUUCUCAGCGGGGAACCUCGUUGGUACGCAACUUGCUUGCCCUCGGGAUAAGCCACGCGGCGCUACCAGAGUGCGUAUCCGCGCGAAUGUGAUUUUGGUCGCAGGGUUCAAGAGCGUGGGGCUGGAGUUUGCAGGCAUCGGCAAGGGAUAGAGCCUGGUCUUUGUUCACAGCAAUGGAUGCUCCGCCGCGGAGGGCACGGCAGAGACUGGACGUGGGAUGAUUGGACUGCCAGUGCCAGGCAAUGGCAGCAUAUAUAACGCAGACGGAGGGCUGAGGAAGCGAUUGAGCGACCCAAAAACCCGGCCAGUAACGCGAUCAAGAAGACGAUCAUACUGUUGGAAACCAUCGUCUUGCGUCUCGCUCUACGGAAGAUUAGAGGCUGCAGCUAAGCGUCUUUUACAUUUAAAAGGAAGGAGAGGACAACCAUUGUCUGCUAGUGACAGCAAGCGAAAGACGAGGAUCAAAGUUUAUGCUCAUCCAAAAUAGAGGACCAAAGUGUAUUGUUUAGUUACAACGAUUCCCAUAACCAUUUAUCCAAAAAAAAUAAUUUUAAAAAAAUAAAUUUUAUGCUAUUUAGAUGGUG